CUUUGAGCUGUUCACACCUGUGGCUACCCCUGGAAAGCGCUGGGGUUGUUGAUGCUUUUGGCUGCCCGGCUUCCUGAGGUCUCGCUGCUUUCUGGGGAAAGAUGACUGGCUUCCAUGUGGGAAGCUUUUGUCUGACAUGUGAUGAUGUGGUCCUGCCUGCCACUGUGCACCAUCCCAGUGCCACGGUGUCAGUCAGUGAUCUGAGGAAAUCCUGUAGGGGAAGGCAGGCUGCAGUGAAAACAGGAGCUGGUGAAACCGAGCCCUCUGCAUCUGCGAACGUGCCCU
rnacentral:sRNA from 1 species